rnacentral:lncRNA from 1 species
UAGACUCGUGCCAUCAUGCCUGGACAUGUCUCCAAGGAAACUCGUGUGAAGAUGUUCAUAGCAACAUCGUUUAUAAGAGCAAAGAAACCAAGAAUAACCCAAAUGUCCAGCAAGAGGAGAGCGGACAAAGAAACGCCGAGUUCUAUGGAAUACUACUGCACCUUUUAAAAGGAAGAGGACAAGCUCUUUAAAUAAAUCUGGAUAGAUUUCCAAGACAUAUUGUUGAGUUAAAAAAGCAAGCUGCGGAACAAUAUGUACAGUAGGCUCCCAUUUAUGUUAAAAGACACUCAUAUGCUUGCUCAAAACAAUACUACUCAUUUACUA